AUAUAAUAAAGCCGAAGGUUCUAAUUCCAAGCUGGAUAACUGGUGAUAAAACUAGAACAACAGGUAAAACCUAGAAUUCUAGUGAAUAUCGAUAACUAGUGAAUAAAUCUAAACGAAAUGACAGCGAUGCGCCCGAAGUUAAAACUUAGAAAUUACUCGAUAAACGGAACUUACAAGAUCAGCCGGAGGUCAAGUUGAUGCAGCCCCGCCAACCCGUACGAACUCGUGAAAAAGGAGAAAAAGUGUUGGCGAAGUCGCCUGCUUAAAAGUAAGUACGAGGAAAAAGUAGUUUGUUGUAUUGAGUUGAUUGUUUUUUUACAGACCCAUAAGGGUGGCUAUUUAUAGCCCAGUACAAACGACUUCUAAUCCAACUAGAACUCUAUCUCUAACUUUAAACAGAAAAACUUCUUAUCCGACUAGAACUCUAUCCCCAAACCUAAACAGAAAACGAAUAUUUACAAGUACGAUUUGUACUAUCUUUACGCGCUUCAUGGGCUGACCUCCUCUUUCAUCUUCAUAAUCCUUUUUAAGCCCACAUCGGCCCAAUCACCUCUUUAGCAAGGAGGUAACCGAUCAGGACCCACACGUCAAGGGCUCAAACCCAUCCCGACCCUGGGCACUAGGGUCGGACGAGGCGGAGAUCCUCCUCUGGAGGGGUCGGGCGCGUCCGACCCCAAGCCUCAGGGGUCGGGCGAGGCGGAGAUCCUCCUUUGGAGGGGUCGGGCGCGUCCGACCCCAAGCCUUAGGGGUCGGGCGAGGUGGAACUCCAAGGAUCAAUCGACCGAUCCUCGACUGAAGCAUCAAAUGGCC
rnacentral:lncRNA from 1 species